UCCCUUCGGCACCCGGCGGCGCCUGCGCGGCGCCGGGCCCAUUUCGCAGUGGCACCGAGGCAGAGCGCUGCCUCGGGGCGAGAGGGCGCCUGAGGCUGGAGCGCCCCGGGGCUGGGUAGGCUCGCUGCCGAAAUGGGGCCGGGCUGUUUCCGGAAGGGGCUCUCGGGGCCGCCUUUCCCUCCCCCGCAACGCACCUGGGCACGCAACCCGAGGACCCCGAACGCUCUUUUCCUCCCCGAAGGCAGGAGAAAGACAUGACCAAUAAACCUUACCUGGAGAAGUAAUAGACGGUAGAAGACGAGGAGAAACAAGCUUCCGUUGUUACUGGCCCCAUUUUGCAGACAUGGAAACUGAGCCUUGAAAGGAAGGAACCUAAUGAAAUCACCCACGGUCGAAAUUGUGAAAAGGAGCCGGACGUAGGAAAGGGCAAAGGGUUCUCCAGGUCUCAAUUUAGAGCCGUAUUGAAUCUGAAUUAAACUUUCUUAUACAGGACAGUACACAAAAAAUAACAAACAGACAUUCAUUCAUAUUUAAAAUAUUUGUGAGGACACACUAAGUUCGAGUGACUUAUAAGCACCGGGAAUACAGAGGUGAACAAAGUCCCUGCUCUUUCCAAGCUGCUACCUUGAUUCACUGUGGUCAGAGAAACAAAUUAGACUAGUCACUACCUUCAAAAACGUACAACCCCACAAGACUCGGUGGGAAACAGUGUGAGGUGAGGACAGUUAAAAGGUAGCAGGAAUAAAACGUGAUGACUCAAAGACAGACUCCGUUAGAAAAGAAAAGAAAAGAAGUUUAUUUGUGAAGAUUCGAAGGAGUGAAAUCCGGAAGGACUGAUUCACCAGAUAAAAGACAACUUUUAAAGAUUACUCGGUGUAAGAGGAAGAAAAGGGAUACAGAGAGUUAUGACUGUGGCAUUGAGGAUUUAAGACCUACAGCCCGAACGCUACUUACUACAAAUCUCUCACAAAGCUGCUGCAAUAAAUCUCAUGGAGGAAAGUCAUUUCAUAAAAAAUCCCCAACUCCAGGGAGCUGGCCAUUUAUUUUCCUGGGAAAGAAGGGCUGUGAUGAGACACUCCGUGCUCCUUUAACUCCACGGAACAGAACCCAAGAAAGUAUUCAUCGUGGAACAUUGAGUGAUGGGCCCAGCAGGACAAGCUGGGGAAGGAAGAUGGAGAGAGCGCCCCACACAA